ACGAGCCGCGCGGCCCGCGUGACGCGGGACUGGGGCGGCGCUGCGCUCGGGCGCGCUCGGCAGGCCCCGGCUGCGCUGUCGGGUGGGUGAAAACACGAACGCUUAGCGGAAGUGUUGCCGUCUAAUGUGUCCCCCCUCUCGCCCUCCUCCCGGCCCGCGGGUGCGAGCUCUGUUCCUCCCCGCACACCCGUGGGGUCCAGGCCAGGGGUGCGGGGGGUCUAGUUACUGUGAACUACACGCGUUUUCAAUUGCUCGGGGGGAUUUUAAGUCCUCAGGACCGGAACCGUCUUUUAACCCUCCUAGACCGCCAUGAUGAUUCCGCUGUGCACUGGCUGCUUAAACGACGUCUGGCUACAACAGAUGACCCUUCCUGGCAACAACAUCAAGGAAGCCAAGGCAUUCUUACGGCUCACAGCUGCAUAGCAUCUUCCCUUCAUAACAAACCUCAUCAGAUCCCUCAACUCCCAACUCCACCAGUUCCUCACUUCAGAGAAGGGAUGAGCGAUCUCUUCUCAGCAGAGCCCUGUUAUGUUCCAGACCCAAGAAGCUGGACAUCCCGCAAACCCAAGUCGACCUCAACCGUUUUCACCGCAGGAUUCGGCUCAAAGCUCAUUUUGCUGACAACGCCUCCUCACCUCACUGAUGCCAUUAACAAUAUAAAUCCUAAACGGAGCUCUUGGACUCCCCCUUCCGGCCGGUUUCCACCAGUUGAUUACUUUAUUAACCAAUGCAACAAUCAAGUUCCCAAGACCCUUUCCAAACCCAGGAAACGCAGGUCUAACCUCACCCAAGGAGAAACUCAGGCACUCCAAUCUCUCCGCACCAGGGAUGAGAUGGUCAUCAAACCAGCAGACAAAGGAGGAGCUGUUGUGGUGUGGCAAAAAGACUUGUACAUUAAGGAAGCCUCCAGACAAUUAUCCGAUACUUCUGCCUACCGUCCUCUCCAACAGGACCCUACCACUGACUACCAGAAGGAAGUGGUAUCCACUGUCGCUCUUCUUUUCAGCAACCAGGUGCUGCCCCAGGAAGCGAACCGUCUCAUCGUCGAACAUUCCCAAGUAUUCCAAUUCUAUCUCCUUCCCAAAAUCUAAAAACCCGACACCCCUGGACACCCCAUUGUCUCAGCGUGCAAUUGUCCGACCACACUCAGCUCUGCUUUCCGGGACAGCCUUAUGAGACCUCUGGUUGAAAUGCUUCCCUCAUAUAUCAGGGAUACGAACCAUGCCCUCCAACUUUUCAAUGAUUUCCAAUUUCAGGGUCCAGAAUGCUACAUUUUUCCCAUGGAUAUCACGUCUCUCUCCACCAUCAUUCCCCACAACGACGGUCUUACAGCCCUCAAGCACAAGCUAGACAAACACACAGUGCUUGACCCUCCCACCCACACUCUAGUGCGUCUUGCGGAAUUGGUUCUCACACUCAAUGCCUUCUCAUUUUAUAACCUUUUUUUAUCAGCAGGUUAGUGGAGUUGCCAUGGGCACCAGGAUGGGACCCA